CAAUAUAAAGCCAUUACUUGGCAUAAAAUAUUAUUAAGCAUACAUGUAUUUUUGUUGCGCUUCUCAAAAUUCUAAUUUGGCAAGCAUGCAGAGCACGCCGAAAAUUCUUGACUUUUUUUUUUUUUUUUUUACUUUUGCCUCCCUUUCCCCAUCCGAAAUACGGAUCAGUGCCCCUGUACGAACUUCAAGUAAUAGGAUAAAGUAAACAUAGUGAGUGAAUUCAAGCCUAAGUUGACACAAGAUACAAUAUUUCAAGCCUUCGUCUUUCUUCUUCAUCAGCAACAUAAACGUGAUAAAAGAAAGAUAUCACCAAGAAAAACAUAAAAAAGAUAAGUUAGUAAAGCAAAUAGUAUCAAAUAGAUGAAGUAUGAAUAAGGUAUUUCAGUAAAAGAUCGAUUGACCAUAAGACCUACUUUGUAGAAGUUUAAAAAUUAGUUUCUGAUGAGCCGGGUAAAAGAUAAAAGCUUAUGUUUUGAGUAUCAUGUGACAUGAGUCAUAUUCACUUUAAAUUCUACUUUGGUGAGGAAAAGGGCCUUUCAAAAUGUCAGUGACACAUACUAGUAAAUGUUUAUAAGCGUAUGAGCUUCAAUAUAUACAUCUUAAAAUGUAGAUAGGCCUAUAUAGGCCUAGCUUAUCAAAAUGACAAACUGGAAGGUGCUUAGUCACGGAGUCAGUGAAUGACUUGCUUUUCAAGAAUAGCCGUCCGUUUACAUCUCUUAAAACAUCUGUUCUAAUCCUGAAGGUUUAGCCUCAUCAGGUAUGAGCACCCAUCCUCAUCUUCAUAAAAGCUUAUGCUAAUUAGUAACAUUUACCAUCACUAAGCUUCCGUCUGUAAGAGAUUAUUCCAAAAUGCAAGAUCAUUGUUUCCACAUCAUUCCUUGCUAUCCCAAUAUCAUUUCCUCCAAUGUUUGGGAUGAAUCCCUUGUGCACCAAGUUAAACCAUAAGACCGAGUGUCAAUCGCUUGUCAGCUUAUUUCCCCAAUUCAUUAUGUACAUGACAAUGAAAUUAAAUCUUGACAAAAGUCAAACCAAUCUUCAUUAAAUACUUAUCCAAUUUCCUGCUAAGCAAGUGAUUUUCUUUCGCAGAACAAAGAGAAUGUGCUCUUGAUAAAUUGAUGAAUUCUGACGACUGUUAUAGUCAAUCAUUCAUAUCAAGUCACCUGAAUACCUCUGAUAAGACACUGUACUAUAUUUCAUCCUCUUUCCAGUCAAACCCUAAAAUUGUUUUCAGCAAAUAGAAUUAAUAGACACGGUGCCGAUAUUAGUUCAUUUAAUCUAUCCCAAUGAAUUUAGUCUUUGAUAAGGCUUGUAUGAUAGAAAGAGUUUUAGAAUCAUACAUGCUGGCGGCUAAUAGAUGGAAUAUUGUUAGGUGUAAUUUCAUUUGUAAUUUAAUCCUGUUCAAGAACAAAAAACAUUAAAAAACAAAUCCAUCACAACAGUUGAUUUUAAUAGAGAAAAUCAAACCAGCAUUACACUUUGGAAAAGCGUCAUUAAGAUCAGAUGUAAGAUUCGGGUAUUUUAAGAUGCAUACAAUUCCAAAAAUAAUAGAGUUGAUGAUGAUGACACAAUACUUUUUUGUAUAUAUCCAUUAUUAUUUUAGAUUUCAUUUCAUUAGACACGUAUAUGAUAAUAAAUUGCAAUUAUUGCAGUUUCACGCGCUCAUGAAGAAGAUAAAUCAUGAUAUGUUAUACAUUUAGAAAAGGAAGAUUUGUGUAUGUGUGUGUUGGGGUGUGUGUGCGUAUUUCAACUGAUAAAAAAUACAAUAUACUAUACAGUGCGUGUGUGACGCCAUCGGCUCUCUCGUUUGCACAUUCUGCAUGUAAUACCUGCAUUAUGAAAUCAAGACUAAUUUCAAAAUGUAAUCAUCUUCUUUUUUAUGUAUGUCCGAUUUUGAUUACAUUCUUAUGGUUAUUCUAUUUAUUUUCCCCCUUUUAUUCAACUCAGUUUGUAGUUUGUAUGGGCUUGGCCUUUGACAAGACAAGACUUCAUUUUCAAAGAAUCAUGAAAGGUCAAAACGACGGUCAAGUCACAAAGUGAGAUUAAGAAUAAUCUCACCGGGAUAGGAGGCCUUAUAUAUACAUGCUGCAAUAGAAAAGAGGGAAAACGUGUCAUACCUAGGAUCAUAAUCCAGAUCCAAAUGAAAUUACAUUGCAGGUGAACCAUUAAGUUACAUGGUUUGGUAUAUUAAAGAUGCUGCUAAAAUUCGACCUAAAUUAUUUUACCUUUUUGCUUAUUAUGUCAUUCAUAGUCUCUUCAUCUCAUCUAUCAAUCCCGACAGACUUUCUCUGAUCCUGCUCUCAUUUCAAUAUCACACCCUCCGGCUAUCAUUUAACCAUACAAAAUUGUGUUGGUAUUGGUUCUCCGCUCAUUUCUAUUCAGAGUCAUUAUUUCAAAAAUAUGGAAUUUUAUCCAAAUUAUCUGUUCAGCAGUUGACAAGACCCCGGGGACAAGACCUAAAGUUAUUCGACCUACUUUUAUUUCAAACCCUACCAUUGCCCUUCGACAAUCUCAGAUCUCAUUAGACGUCACUCUUCAACUACAACAAAUAUGCUAAUUCUACUUCAGAUGGAGAUGAAACAUUGUAUUAUAUUUUUCUUUAAAUUUCCCUUUCUUAUAUGUGCUGCCUCCGUACAUAUUACAGCAAUCAUUGCCAUGAAUUGCGAAAACAACCUGAAAUGAUGAAAUGCAAGGAAUGCAUUCAAUAAAAUAAACACGGAUGGUGAAAAAAAAACACUUGUCCUCAUAAAAUUCAGGGGUAAUUAUUUUGAAAGAAAAAAAAAAGAGAUACGUAUUUCGUCAAAUAACUGUGACCAAAAGAAGAAGAAAAAGAAAAUCCGUAACAAGCUCAUAAAAAUAUAAGCGCAUGAUAAUUUAUAAUUCACCUUUAUUUCAUUAUUAACUCCCAUUAACUUGAAGUGCAAUUAGUGACAAUGAAUUAAUGAUUUACCUGUUAUAGCGAAAAUAAUUCUUUUCUCAGUGAUCCAUGGUGUACGUCGUGGUGUGACAGGUCCAAUUAUCUGAUAUCGAUUAAUGGAUAUCAUUGCCAAUGUUAGGACCACAGCAAGGCCAUAAACAGACGUGGUGAAGCCAUUGAACUGACACCAGACAUCACCAUAUAUCCAUUUUUCUUUAGCGAGGGUCGAGAUGAUAAAAGGACCAUUGGCAACCACUGUAAAGAGACCACAGGCCGCCAGGUUGAUGACCAUCUUAUUGUGGACCGUCCGAAGACGAACGUCGGUGAUGAUGAUGAGAAUGAGACAGAUGUUGCCUAGCAGAGCGAUGGCGAGGAUGAUAGACAUGAAAGCGACCUGAACAAUGGCAGAUGGUGUCAGCGUGCCUGUCAAACCUUCUUCCAUGGUGGUCGGCGAUAUCAUUGAUGGCGAAGACGAAGAGGUACGCGGUAUGAUGGAAGGUUGUGUCAAGGCCAUCAAAGACCAGGUUGAACUGUUGGUCAUGAUGAUGCAGACCUGUUUGCUAGGCAGUAUGUUGAGUACUUUUUGUUUGGAAGAACAUUAGUUGUUAAUCGACGAAUAUCAAAGUUCAAGUAAGACUGGCAACAGGUAGUAUCCAGACAGGUUUGGAUAAACCACUUGUAAAACUGUGGUCUGUUCGGAUCCACUUCAAUUUCGUGCUGAGUCGCAUCGUUGUCAAAGUGCUCCUUAACUGAUCAAGUGUAUAUACUUAAAUCCUUUUAUGC
rnacentral:lncRNA from 1 species